UUAUUAUUCAUUGUCAGUUUUGUGCGUGUCUUUAUACAAAGAGGCUGUCAUUUAUCAAGACAUUGCGAUAAGAUGGCAGCCAUGUUGUGCCCUUGAGUCAUUAGCAAUUCAAGAUUCUACUGAUUAUUGUUUAUUUUUCAUGAGUUCACUAGUUCAUGUUAAUACUGAAGGAAUGUUGAAAGCUGCAAAGUUUUAUUGUCAUUUCUUUCAUAAUUUACUGACAUCAGGA